GCAGCAGCCACGGUAAUGCGUAGGUGGCAAGCGUUGUCCGGAAUUAUUGGGCGUAAAGGGCUCGCAGGCGGUUUCUUAAGUCUGAUGUGAAAGCCCCCGGCUCAACCGGGGAGGGUCAUUGGAAACUGGGAAACUUGAGUGCAGAAGAGGAGAGUGGAAUUCCACGUAUAGCGGUGAAAUGCGUAGAGAUGUGGAGGAACACCAGUGGCGAAGGCGACUCUCUGGUCUGUAACUGACGCUGAGGAGCGAAAGCGUGGGGAGCGAACAGGAUUAGAUACCCGUGUAGUCCCUGUCUCUUAUAC
rnacentral:rRNA from 1 species